rnacentral:lncRNA from 1 species
UGGCGGUGCGUUCAGAGCGCGGGGCUAAAGAGGCUGAAGAGAAUUUCUUGAUGAAACCUAGUCUUCGCAGAAGCCUCAAAUUAAGUAAGCAGUGGUCUUCCCACAAAAGGAAUGUUCGCUGAGAGAAACAAAAUGAUUGUAAGAGCAAGUCUUCCGUGUAUAGCACCCUCUUCACCCACAGAUACAGGCAACCACUCUGAAAAUCCUUCGACGACCCUCCAAAAGGAUUCGCGACCCACGGUUUGAGUGUUCUAAAGGCUAAUACAGGGUGUUACAGAUUCUUUACCACCUGUCUGAUACAGGUGAAUACUUAGGGGUUUUGGAUAAUUCAAUGGUUUUUUUCUCUGGGUCUUCAGCAUUCCAGCUCUCCUGCAAACAAAAAAGUUCAACAAGCCAACCCUUCUAAAGAGAAGGGCGUGGCAUCUCCUCUGGAUCUGGGAGUCUGAGUUUUUUCUAUGCAAAUGAGUUACAGG